AAAUUGAAGAGUUUGAUCAUGGCUCAGAUUGAACGCUGGCGGCAGGCCUAACACAUGCAAGUCGAACGGUAACAGGAAGCAGCUUGCUGCUUCGCUGACGAGUGGCGGACGGGUGAGUAAUGUCUGGGAAACUGCCUGAUGGAGGGGGAUAACUACUGGAAACGGUGGCUAAUACCGCAUGACGUCGCAAGACCAAAGAGGGGGACCUUCGGGCCUCUUGCCAUCAGAUGUGCCCAGAUGGGAUUAGCUUGUUGGUGAGGUAACGGCUCACCAAGGCGACGAUCCCUAGCUGGUCUGAGAGGAUGACCAGCCACACUGGAACUGAGACACGGUCCAGACUCCUACGGGAGGCAGCAGUGGGGAAUAUUGCACAAUGGGCGCAAGCCUGAUGCAGCCAUGCCGCGUGUAUGAAGAAGGCCUUCGGGUUGUAAAGUACUUUCAGCGGGGAGGAAGGUGUUGCGGUUAAUAACCGCAGCAAUUGACGUUACCCGCAGAAGAAGCACCGGCUAACUCCGUGCCAGCAGCCGCGGUAAUACGGAGGGUGCAAGCGUUAAUCGGAAUUACUGGGCGUAAAGCGCACGCAGGCGGUCUGUCAAGUCGGAUGUGAAAUCCCCGGGCUCAACCUGGGAACUGCAUUCGAAACUGGCAGGCUUGAGUCUUGUAGAGGGGGGUAGAAUUCCAGGUGUAGCGGUGAAAUGCGUAGAGAUCUGGAGGAAUACCGGUGGCGAAGGCGGCCCCCUGGACAAAGACUGACGCUCAGGUGCGAAAGCGUGGGGAGCAAACAGGAUUAGAUACCCUGGUAGUCCACGCCGUAAACGAUGUCUACUUGGAGGUUGUGCCCUUGAGGCGUGGCUUCCGGAGCUAACGCGUUAAGUAGACCGCCUGGGGAGUACGGCCGCAAGGUUAAAACUCAAAUGAAUUGACGGGGGCCCGCACAAGCGGUGGAGCAUGUGGUUUAAUUCGAUGCAACGCGAAGAACCUUACCUGGUCUUGACAUCCACAGAACUUUCCAGAGAUGGAUUGGUGCCUUCGGGAACUGUGAGACAGGUGCUGCAUGGCUGUCGUCAGCUCGUGUUGUGAAAUGUUGGGUUAAGUCCCGCAACGAGCGCAAC
rnacentral:rRNA from 1 species